UACAGAGGUCCCGAGCGUUGUCCGGAUUUACUGGGCGUAAAGGGUGUGUAGGUGGUCUGGGUAAGUCGGAUGUGAAAUCCCGCAGCUUAACUGCGGAACUGCAUUCGAUACUGCCUGACUAGAGGAUUGGAGGGGAGACUGGAAUUCUUGGUGUAGCAGUGAAAUGCGUAGAUAUCAAGAGGAACACCGGUGGCGAAGGCGAGUCUCUGGACAAUUCCUGACACUGAGGCGCGAAAGCUAGGGGAGCAAACGGG
rnacentral:rRNA from 1 species